rnacentral:rRNA from 1 species
AACGAACGUUGGCGGACUGGAUUAGGCAUGCAAGUUGAGCGUACCCAGCAAUGGGGAGCAGCGUAAGGGGCAGUAAGGCAUGGGUAUCUACCCGGGGAUCGGGCAUAGCCUGUAGAGAUACAGGGUAAUUCCCGAUGAUGUCGCAAGACCAAAGCUCCGGCGUCCCUGGAGGAGCCCAUGUGAUAUUAGCUAGUUGGUGGGGUAACGGCCCACCAAGGCGAAGANGUCUAGCGGGUGUGAGAGCACGACCCGCGCCACUGGCACUGAGACACUGGCCAGACACCUACGGGUGGCUGCAGUCGAGGAUCUUCGGCAAUGGGGGCAACCCUGACCGAGCGAGUCCGCGUGUGCGAUGAAGGCCU